GACGUAGGGCGCGAGCGUUGUCCGGAUUUAUUGGGCGUAAAGAGCUCGUAGGCGGCUUGUCGCGUCGACUGUGAAAUCCCGCGGCUCAACUGCGGGUCUGCAGUCGAUACGGGCAGACUAGAGUUCGGUAGGGGAGACUGGAAUUCCUGGUGUAGCGGUGAAAUGCGCAGAUAUCAGGAGGAACACCGGUGGCGAAGGCGGGUCUCUGGGCCGAUACUGACGCUGAGGAGCGAAAGCGUGGGGAGCGAACAGG
rnacentral:rRNA from 1 species